rnacentral:piRNA from 3 species
AGCCAAUGAGGUUUAUCCGAGGCGC